UGCAGGCAGCCAUAACCAUUCGGCGAAUGGCUUAAGAAUUAGGUCGAUUGGCUUAAGACUUCGGACUUGAAAUUUGUUUGUAUUAUUAUUUGACGGCGGCGAAGAAAAGAAUCCCAGCGAAGAAUUUCAAGUAUGAACGAAACAGAACAUUCUUCUCCUUCACAAGGCAUAAGUAAUAUUUAUUCAUAAUGAACGAGAUGAAAGGUUUUGCUUUGUCUACACCUCUCUUAACGACAUCAAGCAUAACCAAUCGUGGGAAAACAUUCUUCAACAGGAGUGUGGAGGGUGCGGACUGUGUUCUUCAAAGAACGGAAGUGAAGUUUGAAGUCAAAGACAAGGACUUGGAAUCGCAAGAGAGUAUGAUGGAUUUAUAUGAAAGGUGGAUGACACAUUUUGGGAUUUUUAGGGUCGACCCCCUAGAAAAGUGGACACGCUUUGAGAUAUUUAAGGAGACGGUGAAAAAAAAUCGCGCAGCCAACAUAUUUGCAGAUGGCCGACGAAGAGAGAGGUGUCGUUCGAUCACAGGAGACCACAGACACUUCUUUGAUUCGAGGAAGCAAUCAGCAUCUGGAAAAGUACGUGAAGAAUGACAUGUUUUUCUGUAUUAUCAGUUUUAAUAACAAUAUAAUAUAGUAGGGAAUUUUGAAUGAUCUCAGUACUACCGGUGGAUAUUUUAAAACUCUAAUUUGUAUUCCUCUUAAGGCAAGGAUGGUUGCCAAUGCUAGAACUAAUAGCUUC